rnacentral:rRNA from 1 species
GACGGGGGGGGCAAGUGUUCUUCGGAAUGACUGGGCGUCAAGGGCACGUAGGCGGUGAAUCAGGUUGAAAGUGAAAGUCGCCAAAAAGUGGCGGAAUGCUCUCGAAACCAAUUCACUUGAGUGGGACAGAGGAGAGUGGAAUUUCGUGUGUAGGGGUGAAAUCCGUAGAUCUACGAAGGAAGGUCAAAAGCGAAGGCAGCUCUCUGGGUCCCUACCGACGCUGGGGUGCGAAAGCAUGGGGAGCGAACAGG